rnacentral:rRNA from 1 species
UAGCGGCAGGCUUAACACAUGCAAGUCGAGGGGUAACAGGAGAAAGCUUGCUUUUUUGCUGACGACCGGCGAACGGGUGCGUAACGCGUAUAGAAUCUGCCUUGUACAGGAGGAUAGCCUUUAGAAAUGAAGAUUAAUACUCCAUAAUGUAGAGUAGUGGCAUCGCUAUUUUAUUAAAGAUUUAUUGGUACAAGAUGACUAUGCGUCCUAUUAGCUAGAUGGUAAGGUAACGGCUUACCAUGGCGACGAUAGGUAGGGGGUCUGAGAGGAUUAUCCCCCACACUGGUACUGAGACACGGACCAGACUCCUACGGGAGGCAGCAGUGAGGAAUAUUGGUCAAUGGAGGCAACUCUGAACCAGCCAUGCCGCGUGCAGGAAGACUGCCCUAUGGGUUGUAAACUGCUUUUAUACAGGAAGAAACAGAUCUACGUGUACGGCCUUGACGGUACUGUAAGAAUAAGCACCGGCUAACUCCGUGCCAGCAGC